GCAGUAAUGACUUGUGAAGUGUGUUUUCGUAACCGUGUAAGAUGAGUGGUGGUAACAUUUGUAGCAUAGCUAUAUGUAAAAGCAACUCCAAAAUUCCUGAACCAGAUGGAAACAAAAUAAUGUUUUUGGACAUUUCCCAAAUACCUUAACAUUAUCAAAAAAUAAUGGAUAAUAAAAUGUUACAAGAUAAAUGGGCCUCUAAACAUAAGAAAAUAGGUAGCAAACAUUUCCUCGUGUCUGAAUAUGUUAAUAUUAUGUUACGUCUUUUUUAUAUUUUAACCUAAUAAUAAAUUAUUUAUAU
rnacentral:lncRNA from 1 species